UAUCCCUACGGGACGCAGCAGUGGGGAAUAUUGCACAAUGGGGGAAACCCUGAUGCAGCGACGCCGCGUGAGCGAUGAAGUAUUUCGGUAUGUAAAGCUCUAUCAGCAGGGAAGAAAAUGACGGUACCUGACUAAGAAGCCCCGGCUAACUACGUGCCAGCAGCCGCGGUAAUACGUAGGGGGCAAGCGUUAUCCGGAUUUACUGGGUGUAAAGGGAGCGUAGACGGCAGCGCAAGUCUGGAGUGAAAUGCCGGGGCCCAACCCCGGAACUGCUUUGGAAACUGGGCAGCUG
rnacentral:rRNA from 1 species